CAUCUCCAACCUCCGGACUACUUGUUCGUAUCUGGAACAAACUCUGUACCGAAACGAAGCCGCAAGAAACUCCCGAUUCCGUUCGAUUCCGUGCUCCUCUGCCACAAAAAUCCUCUUAUAAAUACCUCACAAUCUCCUCUGCAGUUUCCUCCUCAAAACCCUAGAUUUCGCACCGCCAGGCUGCCGAAAUUUCUCGCCGAAGUUCCAAGCAGCCGCCGGGAUUGGAGCUCGAGAUUGAUAGAACGAGGCCGCCCGGAAACGCCGUCGGAAGAUCGUCGGAGACGCGACACUUCGGCCGCCUAUCGCCGCUGCUCGUGGAUGCGAAAGAUUCAUACAAGCGCACCAUCGUGACCGCCGUCUCCUUCCGCACCUCAUCCGAGUAUCCGACAUCUCGACGCCACCAAGGACCUCCGUAACCGCCACCUGAGCCUCGCUGAAUGACACCAGGAACACAAACGUGACAAACAGAACGUCCGCUGAAUCGGAUAACCACCAGAACGCCGUCGCCAUUCACGGUCGCCAUUCACGUCCGACCCACCAUCGUUCAUGCAUCAGUUGUACGGAGAGACACGAGUUUUGAUUGAGAGAAGUGCAGAAUUCUUCAG